rnacentral:tRNA from 1 species
AGAAAAGUAAGCUAAAUUUAAGCUAGUGGGUUCAUACCCCAUUUAUAGAGUGUAAUCUCUCUUUUCUA